GCGGGAUUAGUUUAGUGGCAAAACGACAGUUUUCCAAACUGUAGUCGGGAGUUCGAUUCCCCCAUCCCGCA
rnacentral:tRNA from 1 species